AAUGAACGCUGGCGGCAUGCCUAACACAUGCAAGUCGAACGAAGCCUUCGGGCUUAGUGGCGCACGGGUGCGUAACGCGUGGGAAUCUGCCCUUGGGUUCGGAAUAACAGUGGGAAACUACUGCUAAUACCGAAUGAUGUCGUAAGACCAAAGAUUUAUCGCCCAGGGAUGAGCCCGCGUAGGAUUAGCUAGUUGGUGUGGUAAAAGCGCACCAAGGCGACGAUCCUUAGCNGGUCUGAGAGGAUGAUCAGCCACACUGGGACUGAGACACGGCCCAGACUCCUACGGGAGGCAGCAGUGGGGAAUAUUGGACAAUGGGCGAAAGCCUGAUCCAGCAAUGCCGCGUGAGUGAUGAAGGCCUUAGGGUUGUAAAGCUCUUUUACCCGGGAUGAUAAUGACAGUACCGGGAGAACUAAGCUCCGGCUAACUCCGUGCCAGCAGCCGCGGUAAG
rnacentral:rRNA from 1 species